GCGCAGCAGGCGCGAAAACUUCACAAUGUGCGAAAGCACGAUGAGGGAAUCCCAAGUGCUUGCACGUAAGUGUAAGCUGUUUCUCUGUCUAAAACGCAGAGAGAGUAAGGGCUGGGUAAGACGGGUGCCAGCCGCCGCGGUAAUACCUGCAGCUCGAGUGGUGACCGUUAUUAUUGGGCCUAAAACGUCCGUAGCCGGUUUAAUAAAUGCCUGGGUAAAUCGGACCGCUUAACGGUUCGAAUUCCGGGUAGACUGUUAAACUUGAGACCGGGAGAAGUUAGAGGUACUCCUGGGGUAGAGGUGAAAUUCUGUAAUCCUAGGGGGACCACCAGUGGCGAAGGCGUCUAGCUGGAACGGGUCUGACGGUGAGGGACGAAGCCCUGGGGCGCAAAACGGGAUUAGAUACCCCGGUAGU
rnacentral:rRNA from 1 species